rnacentral:rRNA from 1 species
GAUGAACGCUGGCAGCGUGCCUAAUACAUGCAAGUCGAGCGAACAGAUGAGAAGCUUGCUUCUCUGAUGUUAGCGGCGGACGGGUGAGUAACACGUGGGUAACCUACCUAUAAGACUGGGAUAACUCCGGGAAACCGGGGCUAAUACCGGAUAAUAUUUUGAACCGCAUGGUUCAAUAGUGAAAGACGGUUUCGGCUGUCACUUAUAGAUGGACCCGCGCCGUAUUAGCUAGUUGGUAAGGUAACGGCUUACCAAGGCGACGAUACGUAGCCGACCUGAGAGGGCGAUCGGCCACACUGGAACUGAGACACGGUCCAGACUCCUACGGGAGGCAGCAGUAGGGAAUCUUCCGCAAUGGGCGAAAGCCUGACGGAGCAACGCCGCGUGAGUGAUGAAGGUCUUCGGAUCGUAAAACUCUGUUGUUAGGGAAGAACAAAUUUGUUAGUAACUGAACAAGUCUUGACGGUACCUAACCAGAAAGCCACGGCUAACUACGUGCCAGCCGCCGCCGUAA